UCCCCUAGUAACGGCGAGUGAAGCGGGAAAAGCUCAAAUUUGAAAUCUAGUACUUUCAGUACUCGAGUUGUAAGCUAAAGAGGCGUUUUCGGUGGGCACUUGGAUAUAAGUCCCUUGGAAUGGGGUAUCAGAGAGGGUGAGAAUCCCGUCUUCGAUCCAGAGCAGCCUACUAUGUGAUACGUCUUCAAAGAGUCGGUUUGUUUGGGAAUGCAGACCUAAAUGGGUGGUAAAUUCCAUCUAAAGCUAAAUAUAGGCGAGAGACCGAUAGCGAACAAGUACCGUGAGGGAAAGAUGAAAAGAACUUUGAAAAGAGAGUUAAAAAGUACGUGAAAUUGUUGAAAGGGAAACGUUUGGAAUCAGUCUUGUAAGCAUGAAUUCAGCCUGACUUUUAGUUGGGUGCAUUUUCUUGUUUACAGGUCAGUGUCAGUUUUGGUUGUCAGAAAAAAGCUUUGAGAACGUAGCUCCUCCGGGAGUGUUAUAUCUCUUAGCCGAUAUGAUGACCGGGACUGAGGCUCGCAGCCAGCUAGUUUUCUAGCGGGACCACGUUCGCUGGUUGGAGUUUUGUUGAGGACAGCUUGCUGACCUUGAUGAAAUUUCUGGCCACACGUUCGUUCGGUCUCCUCCUGGCUUAGGUCACUGACAUAAUGGUUCCAAAUGACCCGUCUUGAAACACGGACCAAGGAGUCUAACAUGUCUGCGAGUAUUUGGGUGAUAAACCCGAGUGCGUAAUGAAAGUGAACGUAGGUGGGAUCCGCAAGGAGCACCAUCGACCGAUCCGGAUUUUUUUGAUGGAUUUGAGUAGGAGCAGAUAUGCUGGGACCCGAAAGAUGGUGAACUAUGCCUGAAUAGGGUGAAGCCAGAGGAAACUCUGGUGGAGGCUCGUAGCGAUUCUGACGUGCAAAUCGAUCGUCAAAUUUGGGUAUAGGGGCGAAAGAC
rnacentral:rRNA from 1 species